UACGGGGGGAGCAAGCGUUGUUCGGAUUUACUGGGCGUAAAGGGCGCGUAGGCGGCCUCCGCAAGUCGACUGUGAAAUCUCCGGGCUUAACCCGGAAAGGUCAGCCGAAACUGCGGGGCUAGAGUGCAGAAGGGGCAACUGGAAUUCUCGGUGUAGCGGUGAAAUGCGUAGAUAUCGAGAGGAACACCUGCGGCGAAGGCGGCUUUCUGGACCAAUACUGACGCUGAGACGCGAAAGCGUGGGGAGCAAACAGG
rnacentral:rRNA from 1 species